UUCUUGCUUAUUUAUUAAUUUAUUAAAUGAUUUAUAUGUUAUGUUUUUAAUAUAUUAAUUUAACAGUAAAUGAAAUUGUUGUUAUUAAUUAUUAUUAAUUAUCAGUAAUUUAAUCAUAAUGGAUAAAUUUUGUGCCAGCAUUCGCGGUUAUACAAUUCAUUAGAAUUAAUAAUUUAUCUUUUGUAAUUAUUUAUAUUUUGAUUAUAUAGUUAAUUUUAUUUGGGUGGAAUUUAUAAUAUUUAUAUUAAUCUUUAUUAAGUUUUAUUAAAUCAUUAUUAUAAACUAGGAUUAGAUACCCUAUUAUUAUUGAAUUUAAAUAAUUUUAUUUGAUGAAUACUAAUAGCUAUGUUCUAUUAAACUCAAAGAAUUUGGCGGUGAAUUAUAUCUUUUUAGAGGAUUCUGCACUUUAAUCGAUAAACCACGAUAUUUUUAACCUUUAUUUUAUUUGUAUACCUCUAUAAUUAAGAGUGUUAUUAAAGUAUAUUUUCUUUUAUUUUAUUAAUUUAUAUUAGGUCAAGGUGCAGUUUUGUAAAGGUAAGUGUGGGUUACUUUAAUAAUAAAUUUUAUUUAGGGGAUUUAAUCUAUUAUUAGAUUAUAAUUUAAUUAGGAUUUAAUAGUAAUUUUACUUAAUUAUUUAUUUUGAAUUUAGUUUUGAUUUAUGUACAUAUCGCCCGUCACUCUCUUUAAAAUGGGAUAAGUCGUAACAAAGUAGGUGUACCGGAAGGUGUAGCUAGAAAGUUCA
rnacentral:ncRNA from 1 species